GUUUUAAUCUGAAAAUUCCAGAAAUACGCCACGUGUCACUUAUCUACAGGUUACAUUUUUUUUUCUUUCUCUCUCUUUCGAUUCCAACAAACCGAUGAAAACAAAACGAUCGAGAACAGCGACGACAAAUCCUUUCGGAAAGCUUGAUCCUUUACCGAUAGGAGGAGACGUCCGACGGCGGUUGCAGUCUAGGCCUUAUUUUCGUACACCUCCGUUCUUCGUGAAAGCAAAAAAGGAAACAGGUGUCUCUGGUUUCUGCUCUUUCUCGUCUUCUUCUUCGACCGUCUCUACUGCUGGAUUCAUCGGUUGGUAUUUGGAUAUGGUGAAAUCCCGGCCAGUUCUUACCAAAUCCGUCACUUCUUCGCUUAUUUACAUCGCCGCCGACUUGUCUUCUCAAGUCAUUUCAUAACUUCUUUUUUUUUGUUCCAAAAAUCAGAAGCCAUAGUUUACUUAUUGAUUUUUGUAUGUUAUGUGUUGAUGUUCUUCAAGUUAAAGACUUAAUUUUGAUCUUGGUUGAUUCAGUUUUAAUAUUUCACUAUGUGCUUUAGCAAUUUGAGAAUUGGAAUUGAGUUGUCAGAUUUUGUUUGCGUUUAUUUGUGCGUUGUUGAUAUAUGUGACUUAGAGCUGGUGUUUGUGUUUGAUAUAACAAAGGAUUAGUUUUGGGGAAAAAAUUCAAACUUGUUUUGUUGUUUGUAGUAGCAAUGGAUGUUCUUCGUUUGGGAGUCUGCUUCUCGGUGCCACCAUCGCUGCUUCUCAGAGAAGUUUCGCUCAAUGUUCUGGAACAUGGUGGCAAAGAACAUGAUGAACUUUUGAACUUUCAUAAUCACCAUGUUCUGUUUCUCUUCUAUCUAACGACAGUUUCGCUCGAACAAAUAUUAUGUGGCGAAUUUAUCUCGUGACUAUCGUACUUACCAAGAAGUCAUUUGAACGGUCUUCAAAAAAACGAAAGAGAACUACGGUCACUAAAGAAGCGGAUGGAGAAGUAUGAAUCAGCUAAAGAGGCUGUUUCAGAUCCUUUCUUCUCAGAUAUGUUGAUGGACCAAACAUCAUGAAGAAUAUAAUAAACCCCAUAAGUGAUUAUCCCGAAGCUCCCUCUCUCUUUCAUGUGUAUAUUGUUUGCCUAGCCACUUAAAUCAACAGUAUUAGCUCUUGCUUCAUGAUAUGAUCUAUAUACCAAUCUCAAUCUCUUCAAAUGUAUGCAAGAACUGAUAUGUUAAUUAUUUUUUGUAUGUGACAAUAGUUUAAUGGUAGCUUUUGCCUAUGCAUGCAUAUACUUUUGAAACCA